UCCCAUCUUCUCGUGCUUCAGCCUCGAUAGUAAUAGCUUGAGCUGGGCAAAUCUGUUAGCAAGCCCAAUUUAUUUGUUUCAUUAGCAAUAACAGUCAUAUGCUUCCACAUGCAGAAUGCCAGCAGUAUCAUCCACACCAAACCUUAACUUAAACAAAGCAGUCCUAUAGUUCCUAGGGAAGACUGCUUUUUUUUUUUUUUGAUAAUGGUAACAUGUAUAUUAAUAAAUAAAACAGCACUAGGGCAGCACCAAGCCAUAUUUACAAGGAACAAAAACCAACUAUGUCAACCUAAGAUUACAGUGCACCUAUCAGGUCUACUAAAGAUUCUGCCUCCUCAACACAACUUUCUUUACACCAGAGAAAUGAAACAAAAGUAAACACUUUAUCUUGAUUUUCUAUAAAGAAUUGCUUCUGUCUUCAAAAGUUUUUAAAUUUCUCUCCUUCCAUACUGUCCAACAUAUGCAUGCAGGAAACAAUCGCCACCAUUUCUUCUGUCUCACUAUACCCCCAUUGUAAUUCCAACACUUCAACAGUUCACAAGUGUUAGCUGGCAUGCUCCAUUUAAGGCCCACAAUAUUAAGAGAGAGCUGCCACAGUUGGUUAGUAAAAGGACAAUGAAAAACAAAUGGCUAUUAGUUUCUAUAGCUGAACCACAUAAUAGGCAUCUAGAGCAUAGCUGAAAACCUCUUCUUCUCAAGUUCUCUUGGGUUAGACAAGCCUUUCUUGCAACUAACCAAAGCUUACUACCUUGAGAGGUGCCUUUACUUUCCAAAUAUACCUCCAGGGCCAUUGUUCUAACUGUUGUGUAUGUCUUAACGCUAUAUUUUUACUGUAAAGAUUAUAUGAGAGUAAAAUUGGGACAAGCCUUCUACGGCGAAGUCGAAGAUAGUCAUUCACGCUGCUGCAUGAAAAGCAUACCACCUUGAAAGGUGCCUUUACUUUCCAAAUAUAACUCUAGGGCCAUUGUUCUAACUGUUGGUUUGAAGCAACAAUUAGAGUAUAUGUGGAUUUGACCGUAAAAUUUCCACUCCUCCUCCAAGGCAUUGUUCUAACUGUUGGUUUGAAGCAGCAAUUAGAGUAUAUGCAGAUUUGACCGUAAAAUUCUCACUCCUACAAAGGUUCCAACAGAGUUUAUCUUCCGUUUCUCUAAGACCUUGGAAUUGUUCUAAGAUAUUAAAGAAAUCCACAGCCCUCUCUAAUUCUCAAUCAUUCAAGGCCCUUCUAAAAGUAACAUUUCAUCCUUGCUGACCCCAGGCAGUGUCUAAAGUGGAUGUAGGCGAUGUUGCAAUGCUGAAAAAAUCAGGAAAAAGUUCUUUGAGAUGACCAUGUCCUAACCAGUUAUCUCCAGAAAAGUGUUUUCCUUCCAUUACCCACCUUUAUGGUUGUAUUAUCAGCCAGAGUAUUCCGGUAAAGUUUAAUUGACUUCCAUACCCCAACCCCAUGUGAACUAUUAACAAUGUUAGAGCACCAUAGUCCAUUUUGUCCAUACUUGGCACAGAUGACCUUUCUCCACAAAGCAUUAACCUCCAGAUUGUACCUCCAAAGCCACUUCAAGAGUAAACUCUAAUUGUGGGCUUUAAGAUUCCUAAUGCCCAAGCCCCCUUUGUCUUUGUUUGUGAUAAGAGAAUUCCAAUUAACCAAAUGAAUAGCUUCCUUCUCUCUGUUUCCUUGCCAUAUCAAGUUCCUUCUUAGUGCAUCAAUUCUUUUCCUUACCUUGCUUGGAAAGGGAAACAAGGACAUUACAUAUGUAGCAAGUGCAUCCACGACACUAUUAACCAAUACCACCCUUCCACCCAAGGAUAAAAACUGGCUCUUCGAGAUUGACAGCCUCUUUCACAUCUUUCAAGAACCCCAUUCCAUAUUUCCUGCGCUUUGUUCUUGGAGCCUAGAGAUAAACCCAAAUAUAUAGUUGGUAGAGAACCCACCUCACAUCCUAGUAUAACUGCUAGGGCCUGGAUAUCAUCCACUUCUUUAACUGGGAACAACAUGCUCUUCCUCCAAUUUACAUGGAGCCCUGAGACUGCUUCAAAUAUAACAAGAAUGACUCUUAGAUAUUUUAGUUGAUCUGCCUUUGCCUCACAAAAAUCUAAAGAGUCAUCAGCAUAUAGAAGAUGGGUGAUCGCCACACUAUCUCCCUCCCUGUUUGAAGCUUUAAAACCUUUCAGCCAAUCAUUGUUGUUUGCAUUUCUUAACAUUUGGUUCAAUCCUUCCAUAGCAAAGAGGAAAAGAAAAGGUGAUAAGGUAUCCCCUUGUCUCUAACCUCUCUCAGAAGGAAAAAAACCCUUUGGAGAACACCAUUCACCAAAAUGGAAAAUCUGGCUGUUUUGAUGCAGAAAGAUAUCUCCUUGAUCCACUUCCUACCGAAACCCAUAUCCUGAAGAACUUUGAGUAAAAAGUUCCAAUUAACAUGGUCAUAGGCCUUCUCAAUAUCAAGCUUACAAAGAAUUCCAGGAACCCGCCCUUUUAAGUCUGUAGUCCACACAUUCAUUUGCAAUCAAAAAAGCAUCCAUGAUUUGCCUGCCUCUUAUGAAGGCCAUUUGAUGCCCAUUCACUAGUUUGUCCACCCCUUUCUUGAGCCUUUCUGUCAACAGUUUUGAAAUGAUCUAGUAAAUGCUUCCUAUAAGACUAAUAGGUCUGAAGUCCUUGAGUUCCUUAGCACCAUUCUUCUUUGAAAUAAGAGCUAUCUAAGAAGCAUUGAAACUCUUCUCAAAAUUCUCAUUGUUGUGGAAGUUCCUGAUGGUCUGCAUGAUAUCCUCUUUCACAAUCUCCCAGCAAUUAUGGAAAAACCCCAUAUAGAAACGAUCAGGACCCUGUGCCAUGUCAGCUGCACAUAGCUUCAAGGUCUCAAACACUUCUUGUUCUUCAAAUUCACCUUGCAACAAUUCAUUAUCUUCCUCUGUAAUGCUGCAUUCACCUUGGAAGUUAAAAUCAUGUCUCCAGAUUUCUGUUUCUGCAUAAAGUUUCUGAUAAAAAGACGCUAUCUCGGUUUUAAUUCCAUGUGGCUCAAUAAUUUCUUCCCCGUGAACCUCUAGCUUAUCUAUAUGGUUGGCUCUCUAUUAUAGUUGGCAAUUCUCGAGAAAAACUUGGUGUUUUUAUCACCUUGUUUCAGCCAUAAAGCUCUAGAUCUUUGUCUCCAAUAUAUCUUUUCAUUCUUUGCAAUCUCCUGGAAUUCCAUGUGCAAGCUUGCCUUCUCAAGUAAUUCGGCCUCAUUUAAUGGUCUUUGUUCCUGCAAAAGAUCCAAGUUUUGAAUUUGGUUCAACAGCUCAAUCUUCUUCCUCUUCAAGCUCCCCCCAUUAAGCACAUUCCACUCAUUUAACUGAACUUUCAACAUUUUGAGUUUAUAAGCCAGAAUAUAAUCUGGCCUUCCAGUGAUCUCACAUGAAUUCCACCAUCCUGCCAUCCUCUCCUUAAACCCUUCCACUUCCAUCCACCAAUUCUCAAAUUUGAAAUAAGAUUUUGAGAAAUCCCAUUCCCCACAUUUCAAAGAAAUAGGGCAAUGAUCAGAGACAAUUCCAGGAAGAAGAGAUUGGUUAAUAUUAUUAAACUUCUCAUCCCACCCAGCUGAAAACAAGAAUCUAUUUCUUGAAGAACAAUCAAUGAUUGUUUCCUUUAUCCCAAGUGUACCUACCUCCCAAUAAAGGAUAGAUUCUUGAAGAUCAAUCAUGAUCGUUUCCUUUAUCCCAAUUUUGGCCAGUGUUGAGAUUGUUCCACUCGAUUAAUUGUAGCCCAAAUUUUCUUAGUUUUCUAUGCCUGUUACUUCGAUAUCCGGCCCUGCAUCAUAGAAAGUUUCUUCGUUUCCUUCAGAAAUUCAAAGAAGAUUUUGACUCUGAUAACUAACAUGAGCAUCUUCUUUUGCAACCUCGGCUGAAUCCACCAGUGAUAAAUAGUCGCAUGACUGCGAAGCUUGGAUAGCUUCGAUCUCAACGAGGAAAGAAUCCACUAUAUUCAGUGAUUUGGUCUGGCCCAAUUUCCUGCCUUUGGGCCUGGCCCAACUCCGAUUCUUCAACCCCAAGAGACGGUCCAUUUAAAACUAAAUCCUCUACGUGCUCAGCAUGCCCUAGCAACACCCAG
rnacentral:lncRNA from 1 species